rnacentral:rRNA from 1 species
CGAAUUGCGAUAUGUAAUGUGAAUUNCAGAAUUCAGUGAAUCAUCGAAUCUUUGAACGCACAUUGCA